UUUUAUGGAGAGUUUGAUCCUGGCUCAGGAUGAACGCUGGCGGCGUGCCUAAUACAUGCAAGUCGAGCGAACGGACGAGAAGCUUGCUUCUCUGAUGUUAGCGGCGGACGGGUGAGUAACACGUGGAUAACCUACCUAUAAGACUGGGAUAACUUCGGGAAACCGGAGCUAAUACCGGAUAAUAUUUUGAACCGCAUGGUUCAAAAGUGAAAGACGGUCUUGCUGUCACUUAUAGAUGGAUCCGCGCUGCAUUAGCUAGUUGGUAAGGUAACGGCUUACCAAGGCAACGAUGCAUAGCCGACCUGAGAGGGUGAUCGGCCACACUGGAACUGAGACAC
rnacentral:rRNA from 1 species